rnacentral:lncRNA from 1 species
UGGGGCCAUUUCAUCUCUUUCAAUGGCCCGGCAUCAUCAUCGCUGUAUGCAGGCCUGACAUCAGGCAGAAGGUCAUGACUGCUUCCCAGACCUUAGUCUCAGGAUGCCACACCGGAAGAGGUGGACCCCACAUUUGAAGACAGAUGUCCCUGGCGGUGCCUGCCUGCUCUGCAAAGAGCUAGUCCCAGGCUCCCAUUGUGACCUAGCACCUCAACCUCUCCUGACCCUUUCGCCUAGGCCAGAUCCUGAGAUCGGAGAGUACAUUAUCCCUCUACCCAGACUGUAGACUCCUGGGAGCGGGAGGCAAGGCACUCACAAGCAAGGGCAUCAGAGUAACAUCAAGACACAAACAGCCAUGGAAUCUUGGGAACAGAUCAAUGAGUCCACCUCUUAAAAUAUUGUAAAAAAUAAAAUCUGAGUACGAAUGUUG